rnacentral:rRNA from 1 species
UACGUAGGUGGCAAGCGUUGUCCGGAUUUACUGGGCGUAAAGGAUGCGUAGGCGGAUUUUUAAGUGAGAUGUGAAAACCCUAAGCUUAACUUGGGGACUGCAUUUCAUACUGGGAAUCUAGAGUGCGGGAGAGGAGAAUGGAAUUCCUAGUGUAGCGGUGAAAUGCGUAGAGAUUAGGAAGAACACCAGUGGCGAAGGCGAUUCUCUGGACCGUAACUGACGCUGAGGCAUGAAAGCGUGGGUAGCAAACAGG